CUCACCCACAAUUGCAUGAAUAUCUUGCAGAGCAUUGCACCAUUAAGUCUAUUCCUAGCCUGUAAAAUAAGCAAUCCAAUCACUUAAUCUGCAGACCAUCGCAAACUCUUUUUUUAACCUGUAUAAUAGCUCAUCCCCAAUAACAAUAAUUUGACUGUACUAGAAGUCAUCAAAACAUGCAGGCACUGAUCUAGUGUUAACCCCCAUGUCAUCUAUUCCUGGUUGUCAGUACCUCAGCCCUAAUAAUGUUAAAACACUGCAGAGCAUCACACCCAGUGGUCUAUUUCUAACCAGCAGAUCAUUGCACCAUGUCAGAGUAUCUCAUCUCUAAUAACAUUAAAACGCUGCAGAGAAUCACACCCGGUCUAUUUUUAACCAGCAGAAUAUUUCACCAUUUGGUCUACUCUUAGCACGGACAAUGUUGCAUCCCCAAUACCGUUAAACACCUGCAGAG